CAACUCGCCUGCAUGAAGUCGGAAUUGCUAGUAAUCGUAGGUCAGCAUACUACGGUGAAUACGUUCCCGGGCCUUGUACACACCGCCCGUCAAACCAUGAGAGUUGGCAACACCCGAAGUCGGUAGUCCAACCUCGUGAGGACGCUGCCGAAGGUAGGAUUGGCGACUGGGGUGAAGUCGUAACAAGGUAUC
rnacentral:rRNA from 1 species